rnacentral:misc_RNA from 1 species
UUUCCGUAGGUGAACCUGCGGAAGGAUCAUUAACGAAGUCGAACCGCCAUCUGGGCUCUGGCCCGUUUGGCGCUCUUCCUCACCCUGUGCACCGUGCCUUUUUUUCGCGCAUUGACGAGUCGAGGAUGUCACUACCAAAAAUGAAAGGCACAAAACGAAGCAACGGAUCUCUUGGCUCUCGCAUCGAUGAAGAACGCAGC